UUCUGGCUUUCCACAGCCAGGUGUUGGGCAGGAAGUACUCACAGGACAGGCAGGAGGAAGGGGAGCGGGAGGAGAAGGAGAAAUGGGAGAAGAAGGAGGAGGAUUUUCCAGCUGGGAAAGUCAUUCCCUUCAAAGAGGUCUUAGCAUCUCCAUCUUCCAGAAGCGAUAGAGACCCUCAACUCUGUCCCACCUCCCUUUUCACCUCAUCAAACUUCAGGGGAGGGGAUCCGGUGGUCAAAGCAGCAUAAGAAAUUCGUUGUUUAGUUUCGUUCCCACACCCACUCUAGUGAAAGGAACUGAGCUCCCUCUCAGGUGGAAACUCUGUGGGAUUCUGGAGCCGUGGCUCCCAUGUGUUGAUAAUUAUAGAAUUCUGACACAGGAAGAGCUUUCAAGAAGUUAACUCGUCCAAGCCUCCGCCUCCCACCCCCUGGUUGUCUAAACUGUCCAUUUUGAAUGGAAAUCUCCAUGGAUGGUUGUUUCUUCUUCUCCCAUGGGUUUCCAGCAUCUCUUCCUUCCAUGGAAUCCCAUCUAGAAGUCAUUUCUGGUGCUUGCAUCCUCUGAGCUGUUCUGAGCCAAUCGCCAGCCCAAAGGAGACGGAGAGGCGUGAUACCGCAGGAUGUCUCCGUUGGACCCGGCUCCCCGGUGCGCUAAUUCUGAAGAUGACAAACAGGAACCAAAUAAAAAUGUUGAAAAAUGGGCACUUUGAAGCCACCCUGUGCAGAGUAGCUAUUGCGGGGUUUGGAAAUAACAAGGGAGCCAGGAAAAGGGAAAGGAGGUGUUUUCUCACUGAGAAGUGGUGCCCAGAAAAGGCCACUACUGUAGGAAUGGGGGAGAAAGAAGAGGAGAGACAGAGGAUGGUCGGGGGGAAGAGCACAGAAAAAGAGAUGGAGGAAGGAGGAAGAUGAAGAGCGAAGGUACCAAGAGGAAAAAGAUGGAGCUAAAGGUCGGAGGGCGAAAGAAAGGAGGAAACGAAGGUCACAGGGAGGCUGUGGAGAGUGACGGGAAGACAAGAGGACGUUGUCAAAGCCGACAAAAAAAGGCCAAUUUGGUGUGUCAGCGUGGGGAGCGGGGAACGGACUGAGCUGAGCUCUCGCUCGCAGAGCUCCAUGCCCCCUCCCCGCCCGUCCGAGCCCCCCCUUCCAUCUUCCCAACCCCCCCCACCCAAAAGAGAACGAAGGAAAACAAAAUAUCUACAGUUGUCGAGACAAGGGGAGAAAAAUAGAGGCAAACAUCCGUAAUUUUCUCUGUGGGGCUUUGCGGUAA